AAAAUUCUAGUAGGAAGAUUUUGAUUCAAGAAAUGUUAUUUUGCAAAUAUCAUUUAAAACAUUUAUGGGUAAAUGAAAAAUAAACAUUUUAUUACACUAUAAAGUUGGUCUAAAUGUGCUUUUUCUCUAUCCGAGUUAUUUCCCUUGUUGGAGCUCUUCGGUAUUGAAGAAUACAAAAUGUGUAAAUUGUAAACAAGAUGGCAGACAAUGAAAUCUGCAGUUUUUCUUCUUGUUUUGAAACAUCUUGUUCAGGAAAAUUCUACCUCAAGAGACUCAGAGUUUGAUGAAAAACAGUUGACAAAGUUGGGAUAACCUUUAAGAAAAGCCAAAGAGUUGAUCUGGACAUGACGAGUAUUACACGUAUAGCUACUCGUAGAAAAGAAAAUAUGAGGAAAGCAGGGUGGUAUGGGGGCGAAGGCCGAGAAGAUUUUAGCUGUUCCCUUCAAGAUGUCUUUGAAAUAGAGAUCGAGAGAUAAAUGUAGUGGUGUGGUAGUCCCCGACCGAUCCCGAUUACAAUGUCCCUUGCAAGAUUAUCCUAAUGAAGAUUCUCAGGAUUACAGAUCUUCUAGCAAGGAGACCACACAGAUAGAAAUGACCAGAGCAGAAGGCAUACAGCCCCCCCCCC